rnacentral:tRNA from 1 species
GUAGCUCAGUGAUAGAGCACAUGCCUCACAUGCAUGAGGCAUGGGGUUCAAUUCUCAGC